GGCAGAGCCACACCCCGCGUCUCGCGUCACUGAGUCGCGUCACGGCUAUUGGCUUGUUCCUACUGUGGCGUCAUUAGAGCCCGGCCUCCGGCUGGGGCCACCCAGGCAACCGAUAUACACAGAGAACCACGUGGAGGAAAAGCACGCGAGUUUGGAGCGGGUGGAGCAGGAACAGAGGUGGACUGGAAUGUCACACGACGGGGCAGCUGGAAGGGCACCACUGAGUUCAGUACUUCAAAAUUGCCGUGCUCUACCUCUCCCCAGUGCACAAAAACACUCUCCACACCAAGCUGCUGCUGCUGGGGGAUGGAGGGAUGGCGUCAGCGAUUCAAGACUGUUUUUCCUACCUGUUCAGCACUUCUUUCAGCGAUAUGAAGUUAAAUCCAGGUACUAGAGUCUUCAUUUGUCACCCAGGCUGGAAUGCAGUGGUUCAAUCUCAGCAGCUCACUGCAGCCUCUGCCUCUCAGGUUCCAAUGGUUCUUGUGCCUCAGCCUCCCAAGUAGCUGGGAUUACAG
rnacentral:lncRNA from 10 species